UAAUGUUCAACUUUCUAACUGUGAGACUACAGAUUUAGUUAGUGCCUAUCUCUUCAACCUAUUUCAGUUGUGGAAAUUGAACCUUGGAAAAGUUUGCCAACUGUGCAUUCCUUUGCAACAUUUAUUCUGAAGGAUUUUGUAGUUAAAGAAUAACAUGCUGGCGGGGUGGUGAGCUUUCCGUUGCUGCCCAACAUAAAUAUGGAUUUGAAGCAGCCAUCUGAUAAAGGAUGUUCCUCUUGCUACCUGUACUGUUGUGUGUUUUAUCACAUGAAGAAACGCUUAGCUACAAUUGAAGUUUAGCGUUUAUGUUCGCGUAGUUGCUGUCCGAUGUGGCACGUUGUUGCAGCCUAUGCUGG